UCCACCACAACCAAUGGGACCAGGGGGCUGCCCUCCAGGGCCUAUGGGGGGACCCUACCCACCUCCUCAGGGGUACCCCUAUCAAGGAUACCCACAGUAUGGCUGGCAAGGCGGACCUCAGGAGCCUCCUAAAACCACAGGAGCUGAGCCCCAAGCUGGCCACAGCGGGGCAUUUGAUCUCUAAGAAGGAGCUCCAUCAGAGCCGCACCUGAAGUGUAUGUGGUGGAAGACCAAAGACGGGAUGACCUGGGCCCAUCCACCUGCCUCACAGCCUGCUGGACUGCACUCUGUUGCUGCUGUCUCUGGGACAUGCUCACCUGACCAGCCCGGCCUUCCUGUCCUGCCAGUUCUGCCACCACCUUCAACAGGUGUGCCUGCCCCAUCUCUUCUGAUUGCUGAAAUAAAUGAAAAUGACUAGCUCUGCACAGACACUUCUACCUUCAACACAGUGGGAUUCUAGAUUAGCAGGGGUUGCACUGCUGUUUAAUUCAGUGACUUUAUCUUUUUAAUGUUUAAAAUCCAUUUCUUAUUGGCCUUUCACAAAUGUGCUAAAUGACUUAUUUUUUUUUGGCCAAAGGCUUAGUUAUAAAAUAUAUAUUUAUAAUUUUAAAAUUAUACAUUCAAGGUAGUGACAUGAUGUAAUACCACUGAAUGAUUUCUCUGCUAACACCCUGUAUGUUUCAAUAAAUUUGUCUAAACCUCAA